rnacentral:rRNA from 1 species
UACGAAGGGGGCUAGCGUUGUUCGGAAUUACUGGGCGUAAAGCGCGCGCAGGCGGUUUUCCAAGUCAGUGGUGAAAGCCCGGAGCUCAACUCCGGAAUUGCCAUUGAAGCUGCAAAACUUGAGGACGAGAGAGGUGAGUGGAAUUCCCAGUGUAGAGGUGAAAUUCGUAGAUAUUCGCAAGAACACCAGUGGCGAAGGCGGCUCACUGGCCCGGUACUGACGCUGAGGCACGAAAGCGUGGGGAGCAAACAGG